CGUGGAGCAUGUGGUUAAAUUCGACGCAACGCGAAGAACCUUACCCAGGCUUGAACUGCAGAUGACAUCCUAUGAAAGUAGGCUUCCGCAAGGACAUCUGUAGAGGUGCUGCAUGGCUGUCGUCAGCUCGUGUCGUGAGAUGUUGGGCUAAGUCCCGCAACGAGCGCAACCCUUGUCUUCUGUUGCCAUCGGGUUAUGCCGGGCACUCUGAAGAGACUGCCGGUGACAAACCGGAGGAAGGUGGGGAUGACGUCAAGUCAGCAUGGCCUUUAUGUCUGGGGCCACACACGUGCUACAAUGGCCGGUACAAACCGUCGCAAACUCGCAAGGGUGAGCUAAUCGGAGAAAGCCGGUCUCAGUUCGGAUUGUAGGCUGCAACUCGCCUGCAUGAAGUUGGAAUCGCUAGUAAUCGCGGAUCAGCACGCCGCGGUGAAUACGUUCCCGGGCCUUGUACACACCGCCCGUCACAUCACGAAAGCUGGCUGUACUAGAAGUCGCUGAGCGAACCCGCAAGGGACGCAGGUGCCUAAGGUAUGGUCAGUGAUUGGGGUG
rnacentral:rRNA from 1 species